AUACGAAAGGUGCGAGCGUUGUUCGGAUUUACUGGGCGUAAAGCGAGUGUAGGUGGUUUGUUAAGUCGGAUGUGAAAUCCCGGGGCUCAACCUCGGAACUGCAUUCGAUACUGGCAGGCUAGAGUUCGGGAGGGGUAAGCGGAAUUCCGUGUGUAGCAGUGAAAUGCGUAGAUAUACGGAGGAACACCUGAGGCGAAGGCGGCUUACUGGACCGAUACUGACACUGAGACUCGAAAGCGUGGGUAGCAAACAGGAUUAGAAACCCCAGUAGUCC
rnacentral:rRNA from 1 species